rnacentral:rRNA from 1 species
GCAGUCGAACGAUGAUGCCCAGCUUGCUGGGCGGAUUAGUGGCGAACGGGUGAGUAAUACGUGAGUAACCUGCCCUUGACUCUGGGAUAAGCCUGGGAAACUGGGUCUAAUACUGGAUACUACCUCUUGCCGCAUGGUGGGUGGUGGAAAGGGUUUUACUGGUUUUGGAUGGGCUCACGGCCUAUCAGCUUGUUGGUGGGGUAAUGGCUCACCAAGGCGACGACGGGUAGCCGGCCUGAGAGGGUGACCGGCCACACUGGGACUGAGACACGGCCCAGACUCCUACGGGAGGCAGCAGUGGGGAAUAUUGCACAAUGGGCGGAAGCCUGAUGCAGCGACGCCGCGUGAGGGAUGACGGCCUUCGGGUUGUAAACCUCUUUCAGUAGGGAAGAAGCGAGAGUGACGGUACCUGCAGAAGAAGCGCCGGCUAACUACGUGCCAGCAGCCGCGGUAAUACGUAGGGCGCAAGCGUUGUCCGGAAUUAUUGGGCGUAAAGAGCUCGUAGGCGGUUUGUCGCGUCUGCUGUGAAAGCCCGGGGCUCAACCCCGGGUCUGCAGUGGGUACGGGCAGACUAGAGUGCAGUAGGGGAGACUGGAAUUCCUGGUGUAGCGGUGAAAUGCGCAGAUAUCAGGAGGAACACCGAUGGCGAAGGCAGGUCUCUGGGCUGUUACUGACGCUGAGGAGCGAAAGCAUGGGGAGCGAACAGGAUUAGAUACCCUGGUAGUCCAUGCCGUAAACGUUGGGCACUAGGUGUGGGGGACAUUCCACGUUUUCCGCGCCGUAGCUAACGCAUUAAGUGCCCCGCCUGGGGAGUACGGCCGCAAGGCUAAAACUCAAAGGAAUUGACGGGGGCCCGCACAAGCGGCGGAGCAUGCGGAUUAAUUCGAUGCAACGCGAAGAACCUUACCAAGGCUUGACAUUCACCGGACCGCCCCAGAGAUGGGGUUUCCCUUCGGGGCUGGUGGACAGGUGGUGCAUGGUUGUCGUCAGCUCGUGUCGUGAGAUGUUGGGUUAAGUCCCGCAACGAGCGCAACCCUCGUUCUAUGUUGCCAGCACGUGAUGGUGGGGACUCAUAGGAGACUGCCGGGGUCAACUCGGAGGAAGGUGGGGAUGACGUCAAAUCAUCAUGCCCCUUAUGUCUUGGGCUUCACGCAUGCUACAAUGGCCGGUACAAAGGGUUGCGAUACUGUGAGGUGGAGCUAAUCCCAAAAAGCCGGUCUCAGUUCGGAUUGAGGUCUGCAACUCGACCUCAUGAAGUCGGAGUCGCUAGUAAUCGCAGAUCAGCAACGCUGCGGUGAAUACGUUCCCGGGCCUUGUACACACCGCCCGUCAAGUCACGAAAGUUGGUAACACCCGAAGCCGGUGGCCUAACCCC